UACGGAGGGAGCGAGCGUUGUUCGGAAUUACUGGGCGUAAAGCGUGCGCAGGCGGCUUUGCAAGUCGGGAGUGAAAUCCCAGGGCUUAACCCUGGAAUUGCUUUCGAAACUGCAAGGCUUGAGUAUCGGAGAGGUUAGCGGAAUUCCCAGUGCAGAGGUAAAAUUCGUAGAUAUUGGGAGGAACACCAGUGGCGUAAGCGGCUAACUAGACGAUAACUGACGCUCAGGCACGAAAGCGUGGGGAUCAAACAGG
rnacentral:rRNA from 1 species